GUGUCAGCCGCCGCGGUAAUACGGAGGGUCCAAGCGUUAUCCGGAUUCAUUGGGUUUAAAGGGUGCGUAGGCGGACUGAUAAGUCAGCGGUGAAAUCUCUCAGCUUAACUGAGAAACUGCCGUUGAUACUGUCAGUCUUGAGUACAGAUGAUGUGGGCGGAAUAUGACAUGUAGUGGUGAAAUACUUAGAUAUGUCAUAGAACACCGAUUGCGAAGGCAGCUCACAAAACUGUCACUGACGCUGAGGCACGAAAGCGUGGGGAUCAAACAGGAUUAGAUACCCGGGUAGUCC
rnacentral:rRNA from 1 species